rnacentral:rRNA from 1 species
GAAUCAAAACUUUCAACAACGGAUCUCUUGGCUCUGGCAUCGAUGAAGAACGCAGCGAAACGCGAUAAGUAAUGUGAAUUGCAGAAUCCAGUGAAUCAUCGAAUCUUUGAACGCACAUUGCGCCCGCCAGCAUUCUGGCGGGCAUGCCUGUUCGAGG